rnacentral:rRNA from 1 species
AGAGCGAACGCUGGCGGCAGGCCUAAAACAUGCAAGUCGAACGGACCCUUCGGGGUUAGUGGCGGACGGGUGAGUAACACGUGGGAACGUGCCUUUUGGUUCAGAACAACUCAGGGAAACUUGAGCUAAUACUGAAUAAGCCCUACGGGGGAAAGAUUUAUCGCCAUUAGAGCGGCCCGCGUUGGAUUAGCUAGUUGGUGAGGUAAAGGCUCACCAAGGCUACGAUCCAUAGCUGGUCUGAGAGGAUGAUCAGCCACACUGGGACUGAGACACGGCCCAGACUCCUACGGGAGGCAGCAGUUAGGAAUCUUGCGCAAUGGGCGAAAGCCUGACGCAGCCAUGCCGCGUGAAUGAUGAAGGUCUUAGGAUUGUAAAAUUCUUCAGUGGGGAAGAUAAUGACUGUACCCACAGAAGAAGCUCCGGCUAACUCGUGCCAGCAGCCGC